rnacentral:rRNA from 1 species
AUGAACGCUGGCGGCGUGCUUAACACAUGCAAGUCGAACGAAGCACUUUAUUUGAUUUCCUUCGGGACUGAUUAUUUUGUGACUGAGUGGCGGACGGGUGAGUAACGCGUGGGUAACCUGCCUUGUACAGGGGGAUAACAGUUGGAAACGGCUGCUAAUACCGCAUAAGCGCACAGCAUCGCAUGAUGCAGUGUGAAAAACUCCGGUGGUAUAAGAUGGACCCGCGUUGGAUUAGCUAGUUGGUGAGGUAACGGCCCACCAAGGCGACGAUCCAUAGCCGACCUGAGAGGGUGACCGGCCACAUUGGGACUGAGACACGGCCCAAACUCCUACGGGAGGCAGCAGUGGGGGAUAUUGCACAAUGGGCGAAAGCCUGAUGCAGCGACGCCGCGUGAGCGAAGAAGUAUUUCGGUAUGUAAAGCUCUAUCAGCAGGGAAGAUAAUGACGGUACCUGACUAAGAAGCACCGGCUAAAUACGUG